UGAGUAUGUGGUUUAAUUCGAUGCAACGCGAAGAACCUUACCUGGUCUUGACAUCCCGGAGACCCUUAGGAAACUAGGGGGUGCUUCCAUCUGGAAGAAUCUGGAGACAGGUGCUGCAUGGCUGUCGUCAGCUCGUGUCGUGAGAUGUUGGGUUAAGUCCCGCAACGAGCGCAACCCUUGCCUUUAGUUGCCAGCAGUUCGGCUGGGCACUCUAAAGGGACUGCCGGUGUUAAACCGGAGGAAGGUGGGGAUGACGUCAAGUCCUCAUGGCCUUUAUGACCAGGGCUACACACGUACUACAAUGGCCGAUACAAAGGGCAGCGACACUGCGAGGUGAAGCCAAUCCCGUAAAAUCGGUCUCAGUCCGGAUUGGAGUCUGCAACUCGACUCCAUGAAGUUGGAAUCGCUAGUAAUCGUGGAUCAGCAUGCCACGGUGAAUACGUUCCCGGGCCUU
rnacentral:rRNA from 1 species